rnacentral:rRNA from 1 species
AUGGCUGACGGAGCUCGUAGGGGCUCGCCGGCGGACGGUGGAUCUGGAUCAGGCAAUGCAUGGAGACAGGAAGGAGGGGCUGAUGGAAUCUUGGGGGAUCGAUUCGCGGGUCUAAGCCUGCAUGGGGAAGAGGAGGAAGAGCUCGAUUUUUCAGGAGAGGUUGAAGAGCUGAUUGAGGAGACGAGAUGGAUCGCGAUUUUUAGGGUUCAUACACAAAAACCCUACAGUUAUGUCUCACUAUAUAAAUCCCUGCGGAACGCCUGGACAGCUUCGCAGGGGGUAACAUUCAAGCCGGUGGGGGAGAAUCUCUUUCUAGCCCAGGUGAUGUGUUUGGGCGACUGGAAUCGUAUCAUGAACGGGGGGCCGUGGCUCUUCCGUAAAGCGGUUGUGGUGAUGGAGGAAUAUGAUGGAAUUACAGAUGUGCAAGAGUAUAAGCUGGACCGAAUUCCGGUUUGG